UACGAAGGGGGCUAGCGUUGCUCGGAAUUACUGGGCGUAAAGCGCACGUAGGCGGUCUUUUAAGUCGGGGGUGAAAUCCUGGAGCUCAACUCCAGAACUGCCUUCGAUACUGGAAGACUUGAGUCCGGGAGAGGUGAGUGGAACUGCGAGUGUAGAGGUGAAAUUAGUAGAUAUUCGCAAGAACACCAGUGGCGAAGGCGGCUCACUGGCCCGGUACUGACGCUGAGGUGCGAAAGCGUGGGGAGCAAACAGG
rnacentral:rRNA from 1 species